rnacentral:pre_miRNA from 1 species
UUUAAUUGCGUUAUGGGUUUCUGUGUCCAACGUUUGAUCGUACGUCUUAUUUGAACUUUUUUAAAAAUUAAUACUUUAUGUUUGACUUAUUUUUUUAAUUUUUUCAUAUUUUUGUUAAAUAAAAUAGACGGUAAAACGUUAGGCACGGAAACCCACAAUUACAAUUAGA